CCUACGGGAGGCAGCAGUAAGGAAUAUUGGUCAAUGGAGGCAACUCUGAACCAGCCAUGCCGCGUGCAGGAAGACGGCCCUAUGGGUUGUAAACUGCUUUUGAACUAGAGAAAACCUUGGUACGUGUACCGAGUUGAUAGUAUAGUUAGAAUAAGCAUCGGCUAACUUCGUGCCAGCAGCCGCGGUAAGACGAAGGAUGCAAGCGUUAUCCGGAUUCAUUGGGUUUAAAGGGUGCGUAGGCGGACUGAUAAGUCAGUGGUGAAAUCUCUCAGCUUAACUGAGAAACUGCCAUUGAUACUGUUAGUCUAGAGUACAGAUGAUGUGGGCGGAAUAUGACAUGUAGUGGUGAAAUACUUAGAUAUGUCAUAGAACACCGAUUGCGAAGGCAGCUCACAAAACUGUAACUGACGCUGAGGCACGAAAGUGCGGGGAUCAAACAGGAUUAGAUACCCUGGUAGUCCGCACCGUAAACGAUGAUUACCUGUUGUUGGCGAUAUNANAGNAGCGACCGACGACGAAGAGAGAAGUAAUACACCGNGGAGGUACGCCGGCGACGUAGAACGUACGAAGAGAGUUAGACGGCGNGGAGGAGNGGCCGACGGACGACGACGAGGGGAGGAGG
rnacentral:rRNA from 1 species